GGGGAGAAGAAGGGUUUACAUAUUGGUGAAUAACUUGCUGAUAUUGGAGUUAGUGCCAAGAUGAUAACUUUUCUAGCAUUCCCAUUUUUGCCAGCUUUUCAUAAAUCUUCAUGGGGGAUUUUAAGGACAAGUGGAUCAUUAAUGCAUCUCUUGAAAUGUCAUUCAUAAAAUUGAGAAUGGAAAUGGGGAAUGUGCCAAAGAGACAACAACCCGACCAUAGAAAAAAAAAAAACAACAGCAGAAGGUCACCAACAGGUCUUCAAUGUAGCGAG
rnacentral:lncRNA from 1 species